rnacentral:tRNA from 1 species
GCCGGCGUAGCUCAGCUGGCUAGAGCAGCUGAUUUGUAAUCAGCAGGUCGGGGGUUCGAGUCCCUUCGCCGGCUCCA